UCGUGCUAGACGGGGAGCUAGCGGUGCCCUGUAGCCCGCAAUCCGCUAUAGCGGGGUCGAAUUCCCGUCCUGAGGGCCUCUUCUGUGGGGUCUGACCCGUGUAAGUGGUGUUGAUGGCCGGGUCUCGCGCAACGUUCCGGCAGCGAACCCCGUCAGGGCCGGAAGGCAGCAGCGGUAAGUUGUCAGGGGCGUGUGCCGCGAGGAAGCCUGGCAGGAGCCGGCUGCGCGGGUAACGCCUGGAGAGGCAGGUUCGAAGGCGGGUGCACGA
rnacentral:SRP_RNA from 1 species